rnacentral:rRNA from 1 species
AAUAGAUACCCCGGUAGUCCACGCCAUAAACGAUGAGAACUGGAUGUCGGGGGGGUCUGCCCUCCGGUGUCGUAGCUAACGCGUUAAGUUCUCCGCCUGGGGAGUACGGCCGCAAGGUUNGAAACUCAAAGGAAUUGACGGGGACCCGCACAAGCGGUGGAGCAUGUGGUUUAAUUCGAUGCAACGCGAAGAACCUUACCUGGUCUUGACAUCCCAGGAAUCCUGCAGAGAUGUGGGAGUGNCUUCGGGAACCUGGAGACAGGUGCUGCGUGGCUGUCGUCAGCUCGUGUCGUGAGAUGUUGGGUUAAGUCCCGCAACGAGCGCAACCCUUACCCUUAGUUGCCAGCAUUCAGUUGGGAACUCUAAGGAGACCGCCGGUGACAAACCGGAGGAAGGUGGGGAUGACGUCAAGUCAUCAUGGCCCUUAUGACCAGGGCUACACACGUGCUACAAUGGCCAGUACAAAGGGUUGCCAACCCGCGAGGGGGAGCCAAUCCCAAAAAGCUGGUCGUAGUCCGGAUCGC